UACCUUCAGACCAGGUGAUGCCUGGAGAUGCCUGGGCCAUUGUGGCCACUCACACCCAUUGGCAGCUGGGCUGUGGUUCCUGCAGCCAUUGAGAGUCUUCUCUUUCUCAUGGCUCUCUGAAAAAUCUGUGUUGGGCACAAAAGAGGUGUGACAAUGAUAAUGGAGAAAGAAGAUUGAACCCAAUGUCAAGCAACAGCAGGAUGCUAGGGAGAUGAGAGUCCCAACUCUAAACUGGGAGGUGGGAGGCAAGAGCAGCAGCAUUCAGCACCUGCAUACUGACAGGAAAAAAUCACUUGUGCUCCCCAAGUUUAUUAUUAUUUUUUUUUUCUUGAAUUGAACUGACUUCACCCAGGAACUGUGGGCACAGUUAAGUAAGUGGUGUCAGUGGUGCAGCAGGCAGCCGUGGAGAAGCAUGCGGUGGAAGGCCUGUGCAGAGGCUUCCAGAAAGAAGUGCUCCACAAGGGUGCAGACUUCUUGGGAAACGUAGUCUCCCCACAAGCCCUUAUUCAGAAUUCACCUAUUCCCAGAGCAGCAGCAUGUUCUAUUGCUCUGUUCCAGGAACCUGUCACAAGAAGCCAAAAAUGACCAUGUGCUGUGCAGAACUAGCUUCUGUUGCACCUGCUUAAAGAGGU
rnacentral:lncRNA from 1 species